AGUAAUGCAUAAACAACCUGCCCCUUAGACUGGGACAACUACGAGAAAUUGUAGCUAAUACCGGAUGGUCUUAUUUUUUCGCAUGAUUUAAUAAGUAAAUGGUCAGCCGCUAAGGGAAGGGUUUAUGUCAGAUUAGUUUGUUGGUGAGGUAAUGGCUCACCAAGACUACGAUCUGUAGCUGGUUCGAGAGGAUGAACAGCCACACUGGGACUGAGACACGGCCCAGACUCC
rnacentral:rRNA from 1 species